rnacentral:misc_RNA from 1 species
GAUGAAGAACGUAGCGAAAUGCGAUAAGUAGUGUGAAUUGCAGAAUUCAGUGAAUCAUCGAAUCUUUGAACGCACAUUGCGCCCUUUGGUAUUCCUUAGGCAUGCCUGUUCGAGCGUCAUUUGUACCUUCAAGCUCUGCUUGGUGUUGGGUGUUUGUCUCGCCUCUGCGUGUAGACUCGCCUCAAAACAAUUGGCAGCCGGCGUAUUGAUUUCGGAGCGCAGUACAUCUCGCGCUUUGCACUCAUAACGACGACGUCCAAAAGUACAUUUUUACACUCUUGACCUCGGAUCAGGUAGGGAUACCCGCUGAACUUAAGCAUAUCAAUAAGCGGAGGA